UACGGAGGGUGCAAGCGUUGUUCGGAAUUACUGGGCGUAAAGCGCGCGUAGGCGGUUUAGUAAGUUGGGAGUGAAAUCCCGGGGCUUAACUCCGGAAUUGCUUUCAAAACUACUAAGCUAGAGUAUGGUAGGGGAUAGUGGAAUUCCUAGUGUAGAGGUGAAAUUCGUAGAUAUUAGGAGGAACACCAGUGGCGAAAGCGACUGUCUGGGCCAUUACUGACGCUGAGGCGCGAAAGCGUGGGGAGCAAAC
rnacentral:rRNA from 1 species